UACGGAGGUGGCAAGCGUUGCUCGGAAUUACUGGGCGUAAAGGGCGCGUAGGCGGUUCGUUAAGUCCUGUGUGAAAUCCCCCGGCUCAACUGGGGAACUGCACAGGAAACUAGCGGGCUUGAGUUCGGGAGAGGGAAGCGGAAUUCCGGGUGUAGCGGUGAAAUGCGUAGAUAUCCGGAGGAACACCGGUGGCGAAGGCGGCUUCCUGGACCGACACUGACGCUGAGGCGCGAAAGCUAGGGGAGCAAACGGG
rnacentral:rRNA from 1 species